rnacentral:sRNA from 1 species
CUACUUCUUAGAACCACUGUAUAGAACAUGCUACCUGAUCAAGAAUAAAUCAACACCUUGCUUCCUGUCUUUUAUCCAUUAGAUAUCCAGGUGAAUCUGGAUUGGGAAAGUCGACAUUAAUCAACUCAUUAUUCCUCACAGAUUUGUAUUCUCCAGAGUAUCCAGGUCCUUCUCAUAGAAUUAAAAAGACUGUACAGGUGGAACAAUCCAAAGUUUUAAUCAAAGAAGGUGGUGUUCAGUUGCUGCUCACAAUAGUUGAUACCCCAGGAUUUGGAGAUGCAGUGGAUAAUAGUAAUUGCUGGCAGCCUGUUAUCGACUACAUUGAUAGUAAAUUUGAGGACUACCUAAAUGCAGAAUCACGAGUGAACAGACGUCAGAUGCCUGAUAACAGGGUGCAGUGUUGUUUAUACUUCAUUGCUCCUUCGGGACAUGGACUUAAACCAUUGGAUAUUGAGUUUAUGAAGCGUUUGCAUGAAAAAGUGA